GACGUAGGUGGCGAACGUUAUCCGGAAUUAUUGGGCGUAAAGAGCUCGUAGGCGGUCUGUCGCGUCUGCUGUGAAAACUCGGGGCUUAACCCCGGGCCUGCAGUGGGUACGGGCAGACUAGAGUGCGGUAGGGGAGACUGGAAUUCCUGGUGUAGCGGUGAAAUGCGCAGAUAUCAGGAAGAACACCCGUGGCGAAGGCGGCUCUCUGGAACGCAACUGACGCUGAGACGCGAAAGCGUGGGGAGCAAACAGG
rnacentral:rRNA from 1 species